GCCUAACACAUGCAAGUCGAACGGGACUUAGUGGAAAGCGGCUUCGGCCAAUGGAAGCUAAGUUUAGUGGCGAACGGGUGAGUAACGCGUGAGGAACCUGCCUUCCAGUGGGGGACAACAGUUGGAAACGACUGCUAAUACCGCAUAACAUAUUCGGACCGCAUGAUCUGAAUAUCAAAGCUUUAUGUGCUGGAAGAUGGCCUCGCGUCUGAUUAGCUAGUUGGUGGGGUAACGGCCUACCAAGGCGACGAUCGGUAGCCGGUCGGAGGGGAUGAACGGCCACAUUGGGACUGAGAUACGGCCCAGACUCCUACGGGAGGCAGCAGUGGGGAAUAUUGGGCAAUGGGGGAAACCCUGACCCAGCAACGCCGCGUGAAGGAAGAAGGCCUUCGGGUUGUAAACUUCUUUUACCAGGGACGAAGAACGUGACGGUACCUUGUGAGGAAGCCACGGCUAACUACGUGCCAGCCGCCGCCGUAAGAC
rnacentral:rRNA from 1 species